UGGACCUCAGAUCAGGCAAGAUCACCCGCUGAGUUUAAGCAUAUCACUAAGCGGAGGAAAAGAAACUAACGAGGAUUUCCCUAGUAACGGCGAGCGAACCGGAAGUAGCCCAGCUUGAA
rnacentral:rRNA from 1 species